ensembl:lncRNA
UUUUUUUUUUUUUUUUUGGUCUUUCUGACAUUUCUUGGGCCGCUCCAGAGGCAUAUGGAGGUUCCCAGGCUAGGGGUCCCAUCGGAGCCGUAGCUGCCGGCCUACACCAGAGCCACAGCAAUGCGGGAUCCGAGCCGCAUCUGCGACCUACCUACACCACAGCUCACGGCAAUGCCCGGGAUUGAACCCACUGACAAGGCCCGGGAUUGAACCCGCAACCUCAAGGUUCCUAGUUGGAUUCGUUAACCACUGAGCCACGAUGGGAACUCCAAUAGUUACUAACUCUUAAUGUCCAAGAUAAAGCAGCUAUAAAGGUUUAGUUGUUAAAAUACCACCACAGCGCUUCGAGCUCUUGUCCUAAGUCUCUCCACAGACAAGGAACCAAGCCAUGACUACAAACACCACCAAGGGUGUUUUAAAUGCUCUAAAAUUUCUUUUCCUGAAAUUUCAUCUUCAGCUGAGGGGUCAUCUUUUGAAAGGUUUAACUUGAGAGGAAUUCAAGGUACUGGCAUAACCUGGUAGUAACUGAAAUUGAAAUUUUAUUACCAAGCAUCACUAGCCAUAAACAAUGUUCUAGAAUUACUAAGGUAUAAAAAUUCUGGCUUUUUAAAUAAAUACAUGUCCAAGCUUUGAUUUGAUUUGAUGGAUUUACUGCUGUUUAGGGCAGCACCCGUGGCAUAGUUCCCAGGCUAGGGUCUGAAAAAGCAAAAAAAAAAAACAGAAAGUAAACAUGAGUUGACCAGAAGAAAGUUUACACAAGGACAUUUUUUAACCUGUUUCUCCUGCCCUAUCCCAUAAAAUAAUCAAGACCAAAAGCUAGCUUCUUAUGUUUCUACUAUGUCCUCUAUUUCUCCACCAGGAAAACCUCAAGGAAAGCUUUUCCUUAAAGAUAUUUGGGCAAACUUCAGUGUUUCUUCCUAAAAUCUAUAAACCAAAACUUUAAAGCAAAUACAUCAAUAAAUCUAGAAACAAUGACAAUUUCUUCAUGCUAAAGAGACUCAGGAAACUCAAAAAUAUUUGGCACUGCCUUUAGAAAGAAAAAUAGGAUAGGCGUUCCCGUCGUGGCACAGGGGAAACGAGUCCGCCUAGCAUCCCUGAAGACACAGGUGUGAUCCCCGGCCUUGCUCAGUGGGUUAAGGAUCUCGAGAUGCCCUGAGCUCUGGUGUAGGUCGCAGACGUGGCUCGGAUCCCGUGUGGCUGUGGCUGGCAGCCGUAGCGCCUAUUCACCUCUAGCCUGGGAACUUCCAUGUGCCAUGAGGGAGGCCCUAAAAGUAAGAAAGAAGAUAAACUGAGAAGCACCAGACCUCUCCAAUGCCUAAUGCAAACCAAAAUAAGGAGACUGUAACACUGUCUGAAAGUACUUGGACGCCCCCCCCCCCCCCCCGCCAGUUUUGUCGCGGUGUAGCAGACACAGAGCACUGUGUAAGCCUGAGGUGUAUCACAGACGAGUAAACGUACACACAUCAGGAAGGGACCACCAAGCGUCAGUGAACAUCCAUCGUCUCAUACAGAUACACUGAAGCAACAGAAAAAAUGUUUUUCCUUGGGAGAGAAACUCUUAGGAUUUAGCCCAACUGUCAUCCCUAACACACAGCCGUGCUGGUCAUCUGUGUCUUGUCGGACCUUCCAUCCCUAGUUCGUGUUUAUCCUGAAACUGGAAGUUUGUUCCCUUUGACCUCCUUCUAGUUCCCCCUCCCUGAACCCCUGAAAGUAAGUACCUAGGAUCUUGAGGACACACAAAUAGAACAUAGUGGAACAAGAAUUCUAAGUCUCAAACACAUAGUUACACUUAUUGCAUUAAUGAAAGACCCUGAAUGAAAGUCCUCGAUUUAUGCUGAAAAAUGGGGUUUGGGGACACUUAAACACUAGCCCUUCAGAGCAAUUCAGUGCCACAAAAACACAAAACCCUGUCCCAAAUUCUCCUGUUCUACCACUACCAGGGGCCAUCACAACCAACUCACAGAAAGCCAGUCGUGACCACUAUCAGCGGCUUCAAAAAGUUCACACUGUGCAGUUGCCGGACACUCAGGGCUGAAGAUGCUACGACUUAUGACAGAGCUCCACGCUGGAGCAGCCGUUACUCUACCCUGUCCCUCUAGAACCACCGAGCCCAACCCCAGGGUAACCUACAAGGGUCAGCUGAAGAGGCACAAUUCAGACAAGAAUUUCUAUCUAACUGCCUAUCACCCGCCUUCACAAUCAACCCCUCUAUCAAAUCCUCCUACAAUGUCCCCCAAUAACGGGAAGAUGUCUGAUAAAGUCAAUGACAGAAUCUCAUGGGUGGGUAUGUGAGUAUUCACUGCACAAUUCUUUCAACUUUCCCAUAUUUGACAUUUUUCAUAUUAAAAUGUUGGAGGAGGGAGUUCCCAUCGUGGCUCAGUGGUUAACGAAUCCGACUAGGAACCAUGAGGUUGCCAGUUCGACCCCUGGCCUCCCUCAAUGGGUUAAGGAUCUGGUGUUGCUGUGGCUCUGGCGUAGGCCGGCGGCUACAGCUCCGAUUAGACCCCUAGCCUGGGAACCCCCAUAUGCCGUGGGUGUGGCCCUAGAAAAGACAAAAAAGAAUAAAAAUAAAAAAAUAAAAUAAAGUGUUGGGAGGGAAAAAAUUCCAUCUGAUGAUGUGGGUUAUAAGUUAGAGCUACCUUGAGAUGCCGAGGAGAAAAAGUACAAAGUACUAAAACAUUAGCUGAGUAGCACAAAAGGUAGAUUUUACAAGGCGGCUUUAAGGUUUCUAAAAAUAGAGACCUGAUACUCCUCCAGUGAACUCAACCCCAAACUUUUGGCUGGAAUUAUCAUCUGAAAUUAAAAAAAAAAAAAAAAAAAA